CAGGGAGACAACAAUUGAUUGUGAUGUCUGAGUUUUUUUCUUAGGCCAUAAUCCUGUCACCUUAGGUCGAUCGGUACCUCAGAUUGAUGAAAUAAUUUUUACAUUAAAUCAUUGAUUUCAGUUUCUAAACUUGUCUAGGUCACACCCAACAAGGGUUUCUCCUGGGCCAUUAGCUCAGGUGGUUAGAGCGCACCCCUGAUAAGGGUGAGGUCCCUGGUUCAAGUCCAGGAUGGCCCAUUCGUUGUUGGGGGUAUAGCUCAGUUGGUAGAGCGCCUGCUUUGCAAGCAGGAUGUCAGCGGUUCGAGUCCGCUUACCUCCACUGAAAACCACCCUAAUAACCCAAAAGGAGAAAAAUAAUUCUGACUUAGAUUUGUCUAUCUGAAUAGAAUCUAGCCUCCAAUCAUCUUUUUAUAUAGUUGAUUUGAUGCUGGGUUCACUUGAUGAAAACUUCAAGUGAUUUCAGUAGAACCUUGAAAACUGCAUAGGUUGAAAAGAAUAAAGCAUCUCAUGGAUGCAUAAUUCUUAAAUCAAAAUAAUUACCAAUAAGUUUUUAUUUUGAUUAUGAAUUCAUGUUUAAUUCUUGAGUAAAAAGCCGAGCACAAUUUAUUUGUGAUUGUAUUUAA
rnacentral:tRNA from 1 species